rnacentral:misc_RNA from 1 species
GUUGGGGGCGGGGGUUGGAUUCCUCCUUACCGAACGAUAUUGAAAUGUGCAGUGUCCACACAGAUUGUCUGAUGAAAAAUAAUGAGCAUGAAAACCCUUUCGUUGAAAGGCGGACGGGCUGAUGAGUCGUUAACACAUCGGCCGCUUGAAUUUGCCAGCAAAUUCGCGCCUUUCCACGGAAAUAGCAAAUCAGUGAUUUGCUAAGCAAUUUCCGUGUCCCCAUCGUCUAGAGGCCUAGGACACUGCCCUUUCACGGCUGUAACAGGGGUUCGAAUCCCCUUGGGGACGCCAUUCCGAUAAUGAGUGAAAGACAUUAUCACCGAUUUUCUUAAAAAGGACUUUAACGAGUCUUGUUAAAAAUAUUGUUCUUUACCAUUCUGGAACAAGCUAAAAAUGGAAAUGAUGAAUAUCCGAAAGAUUAUUUCCAAGUCUCUCAAAAGCGCACAGCCAAGGAUGGAACUAUUUUCGGGUUGGGAGGUUAAGGGACAAAUUUAACACGGGGGAUGCCUAGGAACCCUUCCU